AACGUAGGAGGCAAGCGUUAUCCGGAUUUACUGGGCGUAAAGCGCGUGCAGGCGGCACGGCAAGUUGGAUGUGAAAGCUCCCGGCUCAACUGGGAGAGGUCGUUCAAGACUGCCGAGCUCGAGGCUGGUAGAGGGAGGUGGAAUUCCGGGUGGAGCGGUGAAAUGCGUAGAGAUCCGGAGGAACACCGACGGCGUAGGCAGCGCCCUGGACGACACCUGACGCUGAGGCACGAAAGCUGGGGGAGCGAACAGG
rnacentral:rRNA from 1 species